AAUGAACGUUGGCGGCGUGGAUUAGGCAUGCAAGUCGUGCGGAAGUGGCCCGCAAGGGUUACUUUAGCGGCGAAAGGGAGAGUAAUACGUAGGUACCUACCCCUGGAACCGGGAUAGCUGCGGGAAACUGCAGGUAAUACCGGAUAACGUCUCCGGACCAAAGGUGGGAUUCCGUCCGGGGCGGGGCCUGCGUCCUAUUAGCUAGUUGGUGAGGUGAUGGCUCACUAAGGCAAAGAUGGGUACGGGGUAUGGGAGUAUGCCCUCGCUCACUGGGACUGAGACACUGCCCAGACACCUACGGGUGGCUGCAGUCGAGGAUCUUCGGCAAUGGGCGCAAGCCUGACCGAGCGACGCCGCGUGUGGGAUGAAGGCCCUCGGGUUGUAAACCACUGUCAGAGGGGAUGAAGUGCCAUAGGGUUCUCUCUAUGGUUUGACAUAUCCUCAGAGGAAGGACGGGCUAAGUUCGUGCCAGCAGCCGCCGUAAAAC
rnacentral:rRNA from 1 species